rnacentral:rRNA from 1 species
AACGAACGCUGGCGGCAUGCCUAACACAUGCAAGUCGAACGGGAUCCUAGCUUGCUAGGUGAGAGUGGCGGACGGGUGAGUAACACGUGGGAAUCUGCCUUUUGGUUCGGGAUAACCGCGGGAAACUGCGGCUAAUACCGAAUGCCCUCGAGAGAGGAAAGGUUUAUCGCCAGAAGAGGAGCCCGCGUCCGAUUAGGUAGUUGGUGGGGUAAAGGCCUACCAAGCCGACGAUCGGUAGCUGGUCUGAGAGGAUGAUCAGCCACACUGGGACUGAGAUACGGCCCAGACUCCUACGGGAGGCAGCAGUGGGGAAUAUUGGACAAUGGGGGCAACCCUGAUCCAGCAAUGCCGCGUGAGUGAUGAAGGCCUUAGGGUUGUAAAGCUCUUUUGCCAGGGAAGAUGAUGACUGUACCUGGAGAAUAAGCCCCCGGCUAACUUCGUAGCCAGCAGCCGCGGUAAU